AGCGAACGCUGGCGGCAGGCCUAACACAUGCAAGUCGAACGAACCCUUCGGGGUUAGUGGCGGACGGGUGAGUAACACGUGGGAACGUGCCUUUAGGUUCGGAAUAACACAGGGAAACUUGUGCUAAUACCGAAUGUGCCCUUCGGGGGAAAGAUUUAUCGCCUUUAGAGCGGCCCGCGUCUGAUUAGCUAGUUGGUGAGGUAAUGGCUCACCAAGGCUACGAUCAGUAGCUGGUCUGAGAGGAUGACCAGCCACAUUGGGACUGAGACACGGCCCAAACUCCUACGGGAGGCAGCAGUGGGGAAUCUUGCGCAAUGGGCGAAAGCCUGACGCAGCCAUGCCGCGUGGAUGGUGAAGGUCUUAGGAUUGUAAAAUCCUUUCACCGGUGAAGAUAAUGACUGUAGCCGGAGAAGAAGCCCCGGCUAACUUCGUGCCAGCAGCCGCUGUAAUAC
rnacentral:rRNA from 1 species